rnacentral:lncRNA from 1 species
GGCGCGCGUGCCAGCAGGGGGUGGGGGUGCCAGGUGCAAGUGGGAGGUGGCAGGGAAAAGAAAGGAGAGAGAGAAGGAAGAGGAAGGGAGAGGAGGAAGAAAGAGAAGGAAAAAGGAGAAGGGAAAGAAAGAGGAGGAAAAAGAAAGAAGGAAGAGAAGGGAGAAAAGGGAGGGGAAAAAGAUGGUGAAAAUUGCGGGAUUCGACUGCGCGCGGUGAUGGACUUGACGGGCACGUGGCGAAAAUUACGGGGAGCGGAAAAAGAGAGUUGACGAGCCGGGGCCAGGACGGCGGGUCCGACGGAACGGAAAAGAUUUGACGGAGCUCGGCGGUCGGAAAAAUUUUGGAAAGCAUUUUUAACGAGUGAUUUAACUGGGUGUAUUUUUACGGGCGUUACAUAAUUAUUGCUAGAAUGCUUAGGACCUUGUACUCAAUUCAAUCAUGACUACAAUGGUUUAUUUAAAGGAUAAAUGUGUGAGUGUUUCCAAAUGAGAAAAUAGGUUUUUGGGAAUAAAGAAAGGAAAUGCUUAGAUGAGAUGGAUGGUUGUUUCUUGUGUGAAAUACCAAUAAGUUGGG